AGGAGGAGGAGGAGGAGGAGGAGGAGGAUGCCAGACACCAACUGCACCCUCGGCCCCUCAUCCUAUGACCUUUGGGACUGCCGCUAUUCUGAUGAAGAAGCAGGGGCGUGGCAGGCAAGGUGACCUCUGUGUGACACAGUCUGGCCUGCUCUUCCUGGGAUCUGUUCUUUUUGGCAAGGUAGCCCAACAACUCACUCCAAAGUCCAGUGCAGUAAAACAAUCACUCAAGGUCUACACUUCUGGAUCAUGUGUUGGAAGUUUAAUGUGGUGUACCAGGAAUGGCCUCUUCCUGCCCCACGUACCCCCAAACUCCACAAAGUUCUGCGGAAGACUCGUUCAUUCAUGUUAAUGGGUGAUCUCUUGCUGAGACCUCCUAGCCCGCCUAUACUCAUCCUGUCUGUAUGGUUAGGGCUUCCUCACAACAUGGCAACUAAGUCUGAGGAAACAAGAGCCAGAGAGGGAAAGAAAGAUCAAAGGAAACAUCUGUGGACUCCAAGGUCACUUGGUGUCCCUGCCUGUAUUAGUUUCUUUCUGUCAUCGUGAUAAACGCCAUGACCAACUUAAGGAAGGGAGAGUUUACUUGGGCUUAUGGUUCCAUAGGGAGAGUCCAACGUGGUGGAGGAAGUGUGGUUGCAGAAAGCUGAGCAAUCACAUCCUCAACCACAACACAAACAGAGAUGAUGUACUAGAAGAGAGGUCAUCAACCCUGGAAGCCAGCCGCCAGUGACAUACUUCCUCCAGCAAGUGUCCACCUCCUAAA